GAUCCACCAUCACGCUCGGUAGCGCCGCCCUCCUCCUUCUCUCUGCAGUCCAUGGCCGGCACCGCAGCCUCGUCCCCACAGCUGCUCCGCAGCGCCUCCGACGACCGCGCCCGGAGCGCGACAGUGGCAUCAUUCCGAGCACAUGACGCCACGCUCCGCCGGGGCUCCUUCACCGUCCGCGGCUCCUUCAGGCUCUGCACCUUGCCGACUCCCCCUUCGUCACGGCCUCUCGUCCAUGCUAGAGGCAGCCACGUCCUCGAUGGUUGCUGCUGGAUUCUACCCCUCCAAGUUGCUCGGACGCCUCCCCAACUCUCCAUCCUCCCCAACAAGGUCGCUGCCAUCACCAAAAGCUAGGAUGAAGGCCAGGAAGCCCUACACCAUCACGCCCGGGAGAUCUGGACCGAGCCCGAGCACGACAAGUUCCUCGAGGCGCUGCAGCUGUUUGAUCGUGAUUGGAAAAAGAUAAAAGCAACAUCGGCCACUUGUGGUGGUCCGAAGGCCUCCGGGCGCCGCAGCACCACGCUGUCCUGACGCCGACCCAGUCGCAAACGGCGGCCAUCUCUGGGAACCAGGCUCCCAAAACCGAGUCAAACUCCGACAGCGAGUCAUUGGUCGAGACAGGGGGCGGCCGAUGCAAGCGAAGCGGCGAAUCAUCAGAUACCAGGUUUAUAAGAAGGUAUGCAGAGAUCAAGUCUGGGUCCAGUUAUUAUCAGGAUACAACAUAGAAACCUACACUACCAGUAGUAGUCUGAAUCUAAAGAGGAGUCCGAGUCAGGGUCGACCUGCUUCUGGACUUCCCUCCUUGAAUCCUCCAUUGAAAGCAUAUCGCCUUGGUCAAAUUCGGCCGCCCUCCUCGAUUCCAUUUACCCGCUGCGGCGCCCGACUACUCCACCCACGGUGAGCCUAGCUCUGCAUCUCCUGUUUUUUGUCGUACUGUCUGUUGCCUAUUUCCUGUAUAGUAUGAUGAUGGCGUGCCUGGUCAAAUCAAUUAUUUUUUCUGGGUAUAAAAUUGUAACUAUGUGAAUUGGAUUAGGAUGCAACCAAAUUCAAAUGCAGUAGGAAUGCACUACUUUUUUCUGGAAUGAAAAGUAGAGAUCUGCAGUGCUGCAUGGUAAUUAUUGGCAAGGCCUCAAUGACAAUAUUUGCUACCAGAUAUAUUCCUACGGGUAGGAGGUGAAUUACAUGGAUGCCAUA